GCCAUCAACUUUAACUAAACUUACACAUGCAAGUAUCCGCACCCCUGUGAGAAUGCCCCACAAACUCCUGGAUGGAGACGAGGAGCCGGUAUCAGGCACAAUACUUUUAGCCCACGACGCCUUGCUAAGCCACACCCCCAAGGGAAUUCAGCAGUGACAAAUAUUAAGCUAUGAGUGAAAACUUGACUUAGUUAAUGUUUACAGGGUCGGUAAAUCUCGUGCCAGCCACCGCGGUUAUACGAGAGACUCAAGUUGUUGACCUCCGGCGUAAAGAGUGGUUAAGGAACAAUUAAAACUAAAGCUAAACGACCUCAAAGCUGUUAUACGCGCAUGAACGUAUGAAGCCCAACUACGAAAGUGACUUUAAAAUUCUGACCCCACGAAAGCUAGGAUACAAACUGGGAUUAGAUACCCCACUAUGCCUAGCCCUAAACAUCGAUACUAACCUACUUAUUCUAUCCGCCAGGGUACUACGAGCAUUAGCUUAAAACCCAAAGGACUUGGCGGUGCUUUAGAUCCACCUAGAGGAGCCUGUUCUAGAACCGAUAAUCCCCGUUAAACCUCACCUUUUCUUGCCAUAUCCGCCUAUAUACCGCCGUCGUCAGCUUACUCUGUGAGGAGCUUGAAGUAAGCACAACCGGCACAGCCCAAAACGUCAGGUCGAGGUGUAGCGAAUGAAAAGGGAAGAAAUGGGCUACAUUCAAUAUUUAUAAUGAAUACGAAUGAUGCCUUGAAAGAGACAUCUGAAGGAGGAUUUAGCAGUAAGCAGGGAAUAGAGAGCCCUGCUGAAAUUGGCCCUGAAGCGCGUACACACCGCCCGUCACUCUCCCCGAGCUAAUAUGAAUUAAUUUCUAAUAAGCAAAACCUGCAAAGGGGAGGC
rnacentral:ncRNA from 1 species